rnacentral:misc_RNA from 1 species
GUUGAAGAACGCAGCGAAAUGCGAUAAGUAAUGUGAAUUGCAGAAUUCAGUGAAUCAUCGAAUCUUUGAACGCACAUUGCGCCCCCUGGUAUUCCGGGGGGCAUGCCUGUCCGAGCGUCAUUACAACCCUCAAGCUCAGCUUGGUGUUGGGCCCCGCCGCCCCGGCGGGCCCUAAAGUCAGUGGCGGUGCCGUCCGGCUCCGAGCGUAGUAAUUCUUCUCGCUCUGGAGGUCCGGUCGUGUGCUCGCCAGCAACCCCCAAUUUUUUUCAGGUUGACCUCGGAUCAGGUAGGGAUACCCGCUGAACUUAAGCAUAUCAAUAAGCGGAGGA